CUGAGGAUCAUUCAUGGAGUUUAGCCAUAGCACAGAUGGUUUUUGAUGUGCUUUGUUCAACCACAGAAGCUACAGUGUUGCAGGCUAACAGACAGCCUUGACUGUCCGAAAGGAGUUCCGCAUUGGCGAGGUCUCCACCUGGCUG